rnacentral:rRNA from 1 species
GAUGAACGCUGACAGAAUGCUUAACACAUGCAAGUCUUUGGCGAAGCUGUGCUUGCACAGCCUAGCCAAGGCGGACGGGUGAGUAACGCGUAAGGAACUUGCCCUGCAGUCAGGGAUAACAGACGGAAACGACUGAUAAGACCUGGUAAAGUCAGGCGGACUCAUGUCCAGCCUGAUGAAAAGUGAUGCUGCAGGAGAGCCUUGCGUCCUAUUAGCUUGUUGGUGGGGUAACGGCCCACCAAGGCGAUGAUAGGUAGCCGGCCUGAGAGGGUGGACGGCCAAAAGGGGGACUGGGUACGGGCCUUACUCCUAACGGAGGCAGGAGUGGGGAAAAAUGGGCAAAUGGGGCAACCCUGAUCCAGGAAAUCUGUGUGGAAGAUUAAGGGUUUCGGAUUGUAAAGUGCUUUCAGCAGGGAAGAAAAAAAUGACGGUACCUGCAGAAGAAGCGACGGCUAAAUACGUG